UCUACGUAACUCCUAAAUGUUGCUACAACAACCGUUCAAAUAACUUAAAGAGUUUUAAGGUCUAUGAUGCAUCAUUAUCCACAUGCACGUCGCAUGGCGCAUGCAACAAGUAAUAUGAAUUCACAAGAAUGUUGCCAAAUCACAAUAAUUAUGAGAUCGAUGGAGUUCACGAUUAAGAUCAUUUGAUAAAGAAGAUAAUUCUCAUAACAAACCUUUGAUGUGAUCCAAAACAUGUGCGCGCCACUUCGGUGUCACUCGCAGAUUUGCAAGCAUACGUUGACGUGCCAGAUGUCUUUUGAUGUACUGAACCCUCGCAAGGGAACCCUCAAAGUAUACCCACAAGACUUCCACCGAUAAAGCUUAAUGGGCCCGAUCUUCUCUACAGACGGGCCCGACAACGUCACAAAUCAGGGCGGUUAUCACUCCCGCCCUCUCCUCCUCCGACCGUUUUCCGAUUAGGGUUGCGCUACCCGCUCUCCCUGUCUCUCGCCUUCCGCCAUUGAUGGUGGCCACUCACCAACCCGCUUCGCUGCUUCUUCCCUUCGCCAGAGCUGUAGCACCCCAUGAAGUUUCAUCGAAUAGCCUGGCCGAUCUCUAGCUUUCCACGCUGCUGCUCGGUCUCUAUUCGUAGUUGUCGAUCAGUAGCCAAGGACCGCUCCUGAUGGACCCGUGGAGUCAAGCGACGCCGAGGAGUCUGUCACGAGGAGCAGAGGCUCUCUCGGUCUAAAUGCGUGGAAGAGGGCGAAGAUGGAGCCGGAUCUGCAGACGCUCGGCGAACCAAAUCAACCCGUUCUGAAGGUCAAAUGUUGGCCCAUGCUAGCCGGCGUAGGGACAUGAGAACUGGCACAAACGGUCUUGUACAGUGCCAAAAAAGGUUAUGCUUGAUUUUCAAGCAGCAGAAAGACAGAGGCUCCAGGAACCAGCUUCUGACAUUGGUUUGGAACCCAUAUGUGCCAUGGUUUGUGGUGUUUUCACUUCUCAUCUAGUUUUUCUUAAUUUGUUAUAUCAUAAUUUGAUGUAUCAUGUAUUUUGUUUGGUACCAUAUCAACAACCUCCGGUGCCAUGAGCUCUCGAUGGACUUCAGUAACAGCAUAAUGGAUGCUCUUCCACAAAACUAUGUGGAGCAGGUUACCCUGAGUAAUUAUGCAUACUUUUCUUCAAAAAUUUAUUAGUGUGUUUUCAGAAGGAUAGUAUAGGUACUUAGUUUCACACAUAUGAUUUACUCUAAUUCUUAAUCUACCUGUUCAUUGGACGAUAUACACCUUUGAUGCCAUAAGCAUGAAUACAGCUAUUUCGCAUAAUUCAUUUGAUAGUGUCCUUGUCACUGCAGGUUAAUUUUGAAGACACUUGUAAAGGCUUCCUCGAUUUUCUUUGCACUUUGUUUUUUUGGGAAAUGGUAAUUCUUCACGAGUCUCUAGUGAACCCCACUUGGGUCAUCGCUAGCCGUGUUGAUUAGCCUGAAGAUCAAUAUGUGACAUCUUCUUUAUUCUAGAAAUGAUUGACAUUGUUCUAUAAAAGUGUUUCGUGCUCUUUUAGUCACCAAAUAGAUGUUCAUUUGAUAAAUUUUAUUUGUAAAUAUGAGUUUUUCCUUCCGUUUAAAGGUGUGCUCACAUUGUUGCCCGCCUUCUUUUGGCAUGACCUUAUCUUUUUUACUCGGCAUAAGCACUAAGUGCUAAAAGUUAUCACAACCAGGGUUGCUUUGCUGACUGGCAUGAUCAAGACAUAUUGUGUCAAAAAAAAAAUGUUAGCACUAUGAAUUGUGCUAGAAGUGUUGACAUGUCACAUAUCGAUUGGUUAUUCAUUAGCCUGUUCUGAUUAGUACGGGGCCACAAAAACUGGUGAAGGAUACAAUCAUGCCACAUUAGAAAGGUAUUGUUGUGUGCCUAUGCCACAGUGAGCUGGUUCUUGAUUACAAAAACCACUCAAAAUGAAUUUAGCUUGGAGAUCUUUUCUCAAAUAUUAUGUAAGAUCAUGUGUUUGUAGGGAAGUUUUCUUCAUCAAGAUCGCCAAGGCAAGGCAUCUUCACCACUAGUGCUACUCUUUUAAGUGUUGACAUGCCACAUAUCUACCAUCAUAGGUGUCUAAAUAUUUGGAUCAACAAAAAAAAAAAAGAUAUUUACGAAUCAUCUUCACUUAUCGAGAAAAAUUUUAAAAACAAAGUGCAAAAAUUGUCAGCAGAAGCCAUAAGGGUAUCACAUUUUCAUCAUCAUUUAUUCUCUUCUGCAGGAGCAAGGAUAGGUAAUUUCUCCUAUGUUACUGUAUUGCAUUUUAGAAUAUGCAGUUUCAGGAUGUUGGGAAGAGAUUAAAUGUACUCUUGUUUCUGUGACUUUAGGCAUUUCUCUCAUGACUAAGAGAGGUUGUUUAGACGAAGAUUUGAAGAUGAGUGCUGAAUUUCUUCUAACGUCCGCUGAAAUAGCAAGUUUUGCACCAAGGUUGUAUGGGAAGUUACGGGAGUUUCCUGAGGACCUUGGGAACAAUAUGUUUGAGUUCUUUUCAUCACAGUUUGCAAUACCAGGAUUUGUUAUACAGUAAUCAAAGGCAGUUUGUAGAUGAUACUGAUUAUCUUAUAUGUUUAUGAAAUCAUCUUAUUGGUUUCAGCUCUGUGACUAAUGUUACAACUUUUGCAGGCCAUUGACCGGGCAAGGUUAAGAACUUUGAUGAUCGAAUUUUAUCAAUCGGGAAUAGUUUUAAAUAAAACAGUGUUUGAAUUUGCGACACUCCAAUCUCUCUGUUUGUUGAUCACCACACUUGUGUUCAAGCAUUUGUCCUGGCAGUUAAAAUUGAUUGAUUGUAAAGUGUGUAGUUCAGAAUUUUAUCAAUCGGGAAUAGUUUUAAAUAAAACAGUGUACGAAUUUGCGAUGCUCCAA